GGCAAUUAUGAGGCUUGUAAAUGGUGUUGUUGAGAAGACCCGAAAGAAGGCAGAAAUUUCGAUAGCUGAGGCUGCAAAUGCUAUUGGCAUUCCGCGUAUGCUGAUUGAUGUUCGCCAUGAGGGCUCUCAUCGUGAUCUUCCUUCACUGCAGUUGGUCCGUCUUGCCUCUACCAAGGCGCUUGACUGGUUGAAAUCAUAUUAUUGGGAACCUCAAAAGAAUGUGAUUCGAAGGGAUUCAACUGCCAACCUGAGGAACGAAAUUAAACAUAAACUGCUAGAGAUGGCUUUCUGUUUGAAAGUGAAGCAGACUAACAGUUCACAUACUUCGGGAAAACGAAUGAGA
rnacentral:misc_RNA from 1 species